UGUUUCCUGGCAUUAAGGUUUUCCGCAUGAUUUAUGUUUUGUCAUAUGUAUCAUAACCUAACAGCUGCACCUGUGAGUCACGUACACUGUUGCCUUAUUAUUCUCUUUGAUCGUGGUUGCUUCUCCUCCUUUCUACUGUUUUGAUAUGAAAAGGAUUAGGAUUUGAGGAUGCUUAAUUAUCAGGAUGUCAUCGGCAAACUCUACAAUUAGAUUUUGGGAUGCAUCGAGGUUGAUUCAAUUUUGCUGAUGCUACUUUUCUUGAGGGGAAUUCUACUGUUGUUCCUCUGCUGGAAGUGUUGCCAUCGGUUUCUCUGGAGACCUCGAAGCUGUUCAUGCAAAGGCUAGUUGGAAGGAGAGGCGGUGUCAACUACUACAACAAAAGAGGGAAAACUACUUGCAAAUGCAUACCAUGUAUGGAAUUGGAUAUGUUCAGAAGAUAUCGGCUAGAAAGGGUCUUAAAACAAGAUGCAACCUGUGAUGAAACACAUUUACGUACUCAUGCUACUCAUUUUAAUAGGAUUAUCCAGUUGUGUACUCUUCAAUAGUAGGAGGAGUAUUUUGUUGUCAUUCUUGUUAAUUAUGCAUUGGUAGCAAACAGAUUGUAAAUGGGCAUUUUUCAGCUAAUUUAACCCCAAGGAGUUGGUAUGUAUUAUAGUUUUAGGCUACAAUAUUAAUGUGUAGCUGCUGUAAUUUUUUUUUUAAAAAGAAUUCACAACAUUUUCCUCGUUUUAUUUACAGAAAUGCAGCAAUUGAUAUUUACAUUUGCCCCAUUUUUUUUGAAAAAAAUGUUGCAGAUGACUUUUUUUUGCUGCAUUUUUUUUGCGCGGCAUAUGAUAUCACAUUUGCAGCCCCCAAUGUUGCCGCACCACGAAUAACGAGGCAAAUGAGGCUUUUUUGUGCGCAACAAAUCCCCUUAUUCUACUAGUGUACGGUUUUCUACACCACGCAUCAAACAUCAAAUCAUGCUACCUUCCGAUGAAUACUGGUAUACAUCUGUUUCUCCGACAUUAACAGAUAAAUAUCUCAAGAAUACAAAGUCCGAAAAAUACAAGAAUUCAGGCGUUCGACUCCAAACGGACGCAACCCCCAGGAAUGUCAGCCAAAAUUUCAAAAUUUUAAGAGUCAAUAAAAAACUCUUUCCCCCAGUGGACAUAUCCCCAGCGGAUCAACUCCGGGUAUUCAAAUUUCGAAAAUUCAAAAUUCAAAAAAAUUCAAAAUUUCAAGAUUCCAAAUUUUCGAUGCCAAGCUCCGUCCUGAACCAAAGGCGGAAAAGAAAUACAAUCCAUACAAAGAUCAGAGUCGUCACAACCGCACGGAGGAGUUGAUUUCUAGUGAGUCGUGAUUCGCACAGUGGCCCCCGUACUUAGGUAUUCCAGGUACGUACAAGACUAGGGUGACCAACCAUCCCUUGAGGACUUUGUGAAGUGUAUUGAAUGCGAAUCAUGUGAACUUAUAUGUUGUUAUCAAUUAAUGUUUGAUGAUUGGGAAUAAAUAUGUUAUUAUGAAUUAAUGUUUGAUAUUGAGAACGAGCAUGUUAUUAUUAUUAUUGAAUUUAUGUGAGCGAGCAUGUUAUGAA